ACGGGUGAGUAACGCGUGAGCAACCUGCCUUUCAGAGGGGGAUAACGUUUGGAAACGAACGCUAAUACUGCAUGAUAUUAUUGAGCUGCAUGGCUUGAUAAUCAAAGGAGCAAUCCGCUGAAAGAUGGGCUCGCGUCCGAUUAGGUAGUUGGCGGGGCAACGGCCCACCAAGCCGACGAUCGGUAGCCGGACUGAGAGGUUGAACGGCCACAUUGGGACUGAGACACGGCCCAGACUCCUACGGGAGGCAGCAGUGAGGGAUAUUGGUCAAUGGGGGAAACCCUGAACCAGCAACGCCGCGUGAGGGAAGACGGUUUUCGGAUUGUAAACCUCUGUCCUCUGUGAAGAUGAUGACGGUAGCAGAGGAGGAAGCUCCGGCUAACUACGUGCCAGCAGCCGCGGUAAUACGUAGGGAGCAAGCGUUGUCCGGAUUUACUGGGUGUAAAGGGUGCGUAGGCGGCUUUGCAAGUCAGAAGUGAAAUCCAUGGGCUUAACCCAUGAACUGCUUUUGAAACUGCAGAGCUUGAGUGGAGUAGAGGUAGGCGGAAUUCCCGGUGUAGCGGUGAAAUGCGUAGAGAUCGGGAGGAACACCAGUGGCGAAGGCGGCCUGCUGGGCUCUAACUGACGCUGAGGCACGAAAGCGUGGGUAGCAAACAGGAUUAGAUACCCUGGUAGUCCACGCUGUAAACGAUGAUUACUAGGUGUGGGUGGACUGACCCCAUCCGUGCCGGAGUUAACA
rnacentral:rRNA from 1 species